rnacentral:lncRNA from 1 species
ACUUUUCCUGACGUUGGAGUCUUGACCAUGUGAAGCAGUUCCGCCAUUUUCGAAAACGAAGCAGACGACUCCUACCAUACAUCUGUAACGAGUUCCUGACCGUACUCACUACGAAGGGUCGUCACCGUCAGCCAGCGAAGCAGAUACGUACCUGACCCGGCUUCGCUCAUACAAAGCACUUCAACAUGUAGACAGUGUGCGUUUGUCCGAGCUUGGGGAACGACACCUUAGGAGCCGCGGGGACGGUCCAGUCCAUGUCAGCUUCGAGACCAGCAGACACCAGCAACGGAGCCAUGGUAACCAAUGGUAAGAUCGCCUCUAGCACAACCCCGUGCUUGACAGUGUCUAGGAUGGAAGCGUAAUUGUCCACUAUCUCGUAAGGGUUCAUGUCGUUGGGAUGUUCAUGCACGCCCUGCUCCUGCGUGACGGGGUAGCUAGCCGCUUCAGGUGUGUCCAGUCGCGCUUCAUGUGUGUCCACUCGCGCUGCUCCGAAGCUGUAUAAAUUCGACCCAGCGUCAACCCCCUCUACAUCGUGCGUGUGACGCGGGAUAAGUUGAUACGCACGAAACUCCCGUGCUGUGUUAUUUCCAGCUUCCAUUGUCGGGAAGUUGAACUGUCCGCUGGACAGAUUCAUGAAAGCCAAACUACA